AAUAAAAUGCCUGAUUAAAGGAUUAUCUUGAUAGGAUAAAUUAUAUAAUUUAAAAUUAUUUUUAUUA
rnacentral:tRNA from 1 species